UAGCAUAUCAAUAAGCGGAGGAAAAGAAACCAACAGGGAUUGCCCUAGUAACGGCGAGUGAAGCGGCAACAGCUCAAAUUUGAAAUCUGGCCUCUUUGGGGUCCGAGUUGUAAUUUGCAGAGGGCGCUUUGGCGUUGGCAGCGGUCCAAGUUCCUUGGAACAGGACGUCACAGAGGGUGAGAAUCCCGUACGUGGUCGCUGGCCUUCGCCGUGUAAAGCCCCUUCGACGAGUCGAGUUGUUUGGGAAUGCAGCUCUAAAUGGGAGGUAAAUUUCUUCUAAAGCUAAAUACUGGCCAGAGACCGAUAGCGCACAAGUAGAGUGAUCGAAAGAUGAAAAGCACUUUGGAAAGAGAGUCAAAAAGCACGUGAAAUUGUUGAAAGGGAAGCGCUUGCAGCCAGACUUGCCUGUAGUUGCUCAUCCGGGUUUUUACCCGGUGCACUCUUCUGCGGGCAGGCCAGCAUCAGUUUGGGCGGUUGGAUAAAGGUCUCUGUCAUGUACCUCUCUUCGGGGAGAUCUUAUAGGGGAGACGACAUGCAACCAGCCCGGACUGAGGUCCGCGCAUCUGCUAGGAUGCUGGCGUAAUGGCUGUAAGCGGCCCGUCUUGAAACACGGACCAAGGAGUCUAACAUCUAUGCGAGUGUUUGGGUGUCAAGCCCGAACGCGUAAUGAAAGUGAACGGAGGUGGGAACCUUUCGGGGUGCACCAUCGACCGAUCCUGAUGUCUUCGGAUGGAUUUGAGUAAGAGCAUAGCUGUUGGGACCCGAAAGAUGGUGAACUAUGCUUGAAUAGGGUGAAGCCAGAGGAAACUCUGGUGGAGGCUCGCAGCGGUUCUGACGUGCAAAUCGAUCGUCAAAUUUGGGCAUAGGGCGAAAGACUAAUCGA
rnacentral:rRNA from 1 species